rnacentral:rRNA from 1 species
UCGAUGAAGAACGCAGCGAAAUGCGAUAAGUAGUGUGAAUUGCAGAAUUCAGUGAAUCAUCGAAUCUUUGAACGCACAUUGCGCCCCUUGGUAUUCCAUGGGGCAUGCCUGUUCGAGCGUCAUUUGUACCUUCAAGCUCUGCUUGGUGUUGGGUGUUUGUCUCGCCUCUGCGCGCAGACUCGCCUCAAAACGAUUGGCAGCCGGCGUAUUGAUUUCGGAGCGCAGUACAUCUCGCGCUUUGCACUCACAACGACGACGUCCAAAAAGUACAUUUUUACACUCUUGACCUCGGAUCAGGUAGGGAUACCCGCUGAACUUAAGCAUAUCAAUAAGCGGAGGAAA